UACGGAUUCUUCCCUGGAAAGCUGAGGUUUUUUGCUGCGGGGAAGUAUAGAAAUAAAAAUGAGAGAGGGUGUGUAAAUGACAGUUUUCGACUUACCUUGCUGAAUGGGUUGGUUGCUGGAAGUCAGGGCUAUGGGGAGAGCUCUAAGCAGCCAGCUGGAGGACAGGCAUCGCUUAUGACAAAAGAGCUGGAUUUGGAGGUGCCUAGCAGGAAGUUUUCCAAAGAGAUAGCAGAGCUCCAGGGGACCGUGAGUGAGCUGUGGACAUCUGCCAUGCCACAGGGCACCAAUGCCCUUUUACAAUCCCUCCACUCAAGCAGGCACACCAGAAGCAGGCUGGAAGGGAUGUUGUGCUUUGACAACUGUGUUUACUACAGAGGGUUAACCUCACUCUUCAGUGGCUCUUCUGAAUCUUUCUGUUAAUAGAAAACUUAACUCAAUCUGGAUGAAACAAGUGGAAUUUGUUGCCUCUUAGCCAAUAAAAUGGAAGUCCAAAGGCGUAAGCACUGUUGUCACAGUCUAAGAUGGUGGCUAGAGCUUCAGUCGUCGUAUUCAUGCUCCCGGGAGCAGGAUGGAGAAAGGAUGAAGAAGAUGUCCAUGAGUCAGCUGUCUUGUAAGGAAGGUUCCUAGAAGCUGCCACAUGACAUUUCUGCUUAUAUUCCAUCAGCCAGGGCGUAGUCACAUGGAUCCGCCAAACUGCAAAGAGACGAUGUAUUUAUGGAGCAUUGUUUUAUGGUGAUGAAUAGGACAGGGAAAGCCUCUGUUUUCAUGGUGCUCAUACGUUCAAGGAAGAGAGUCACCAAAAUCUGAUAAAUAAGAAACUAACUAACUGUGAGAAUAUCACGUAAUGAAAGUACUAUUAGAAAAUGAAACAAGGUGUGAAGGUGAGGAUGAAGGGGAGAGUGAAUGAAGGCCACGUUCAAUGGAAUGCUCAGGAAGGUCUUUUGGGGGAG
rnacentral:lncRNA from 1 species